ensembl:lncRNA
CUGAUGGGCUCAACAGAGAAAUAUGAAAACACAAAUAAUAAAUAAGGACUCUAAAAUGACAAACAAACUGAAGAAAAAUUAUGAAGUCAAUGGCCCACUAACAUACAAAUUAAAUGCAUUAUCUAAGACGUGGUAAAACACUCAGCUCACUUCUGUAGCCAUUAGCUUUUCCAGAUGGCUGAAGGGCUGCUGUGCUCACAGCCUCACAGAUUAGACAGCAUCUCCAGCUUGCUGAAGUCUCCGUGCUGCAGGCCCUGAGACAGUAACUCCUAUUUGUUCUCAUUAUUAGUAAUCAUUAUGGAUGCAACUAAACUUCCUUAAUUUCAUUAGGACAUGAAUUUAUUCAACAAAUAAUUUUAGCAUUGGUGUGCUCCAUUAAAACAUGUUCUUAAUUCUCAUUCUAAAUGCAGUUUAUAACUGUGUGGGGAGCACGUAUCUCCCUCUAUCAGAGGAUAUUUUCUUCUCCUCAGCUUCAGACUUGGAACAAGCAGUUCCUCCUUCCACAUACAGAUACCACAAUUUGGGAUGCACCAACUGAUCAACUGCUCUCACUAAACUCAGUGGUCUUUUGGGACCAGAAAUUUAUUCUCUGAUUCUUUAUUAUCAUCCAGGGGUGAAAAACUUCUCCACUCCCAGCUUGAAGUGAGUGCGACAGAGGAACUGGUGACAAAAAUUACAGUAGGAAGAAAUAACCUUCUUAUGAGGCGUUCUAAUUUAUCAGGUUCUUUGGAAGACCACAGGGUGAUUGGACUGCUUUCACCCAGUACUGCACCUCCAUCCAGGCUGAAGAAUAACAUUACUGAUGGCAACGUGCUACCAAACACCACAAAACAACAACAAAAAAAAACAUGUACAGAUCAUACUCCUAUAUCACAGCAACGCUUCUUUGCAGUAAAACAGGCUACUAGGAAAAAAUAUAGCAUUCAUAAACUGAGUCUAAAGAAAUAUGCUUGCUGCACAGAAGUAGAAGACACGCAUUUAUGGUACUUUUAUCAGCUUAUUCUAAGCUAUGCCACAGUAACACAAGGUACAGGAGAGGACAGACAAUGACAGGGAGGAUGAAGAUUUUUUUAUCUUCUCCAGAGGAUUAGAGAAUCUGAGAGCAAUCUCUUUGUGUCUGGGCAUACUUACAACUGAAGACAUAUGUCUGGAAUAGGCAAAAAAUGUGUUUCUUAAAAAUAUUGUAUUGAAAAUUUUCAUCCCACAGCAGCAGACAGCACUGGAUGUGCUUCACCAGUGUGCUGACUGGGAAAAGAGUUGUGAAAGAAAAACAACUUUGAAUCAAAGUUGUUAGAACAGCAAAUCAAUUUAUUCUACACUCUCCCCUCCCCCCACUCCCCCCCCCCCCCCCCCCAUUUUUACUUAUUUAUUUAUUUGUCUUCGUCCUGACAAAUUCAGCAGCCAAACCACUUAGAAAGGGAAAAAUCAACAAUAGAUUCUCAUCAAAUUCUUUGUGAUUUUGCUUGCUAGGGGAGUUCUUGGUUGUUACAAACAGUGUCAUCCAGAAUAAUUCACUAACAUGGUGGCCAGGUGGAGAUAUAUGUCUGCAUUGCAUCAGCUGCAUCUGUAUUACUCCUCGCCACGCUAUAGGGACCAUUCUUUCAUGAUAUAUACCUGGCACUUGUUUCAGCAGCACUUUUGCCAUUCCCAGGGGUUGGUGAACUGUAAAGCCCUCUGAGAUAGAGAUUUUAUGCUUCACUUACAUGUAAACUGAGGCAUAAAAUAGUUCUGUGAUUUAACCUGUAGUCAUUAGGAAGCAUAGGAAGUUAAUCCCGGACUCGUAUCUGUCAUGCUUUUAUCUUUCUUACAAGAAAUGUUGCCACAUAAGAAUAGGACUAUGGAAGAGAAGGAGGAUGUGGAGAAAUGGAGCCUGGCUGCAAAACCAGCACCGAAGGUGGAUUCCGUACCAUUCGGCGCUGGGAUCGCUACCGCUGAUUCCAACAGAAAAACAUCUGGCCCAGUGCUGAGUGCUUUUGAAAAUGCUGCUUUGACAUUUUAGGCCUGAAACCAGACAUUUUCCCUGACAUUAUGAAACACAGCGAGGUAAUAUUACAAAUAAGUAUAAAAAAUAAAUCCAGCUUGAAAAACAUACAUGACCUUUCAAAGCCUGAAAUCAUGUAAUAAUAACCAGCCUGAUCCAUUGCUGAGGUUUUAUUGUUUGGGCUUCACUCACGUUUUUGCCUUUCUCCCUUGGACAAAGCAGACAGUUAGGGACUAAAAUCCCAGAACAAGUGCAUGCUUAUUUACAAACAAAAUGAGAAAUGUCUUGAAAUAGUUCAAAACGCUUAACCUGCUGGUGGGGAAAUCAUACAAAGGAAAAAAGCAACACCUCCUCUCUCUGUUUUCUCCAGGGCUUGCUUAUAUUGUUUGCUUCAGACAGCUCAUUUUUAAUGAAUCCAAUAAUCAGUUGGAACUUGAACCUGCUCUGCCAUCUCUCACUGUUCUUUCAGUUCCAGGAAAAAUGAAGUAAAAAAUAUUUUUCUUGCUCAGCAUUAAAGAAGCCAUAAUAAUACUAAUGUUUACAUCUGGUUCCAAAACCAGUUUUGAGCGUCAGUCAAAACAGAGAUGAAAUUUAAUGCACAAAGUUCAACAUUUUGGGAACACAAAAUGUUUUCUUAGUUGGCUUUCAAUUUUUUUUAUUUUUUAUUUUAUUUUGACAGGGUGCUUCUUUUCCCAGGUCUGGAGCUAGCUUAUCUAGGUUGGCAUCAGUGGAACAGUACCUAACCCCAGUACUGUUCUUUGGGUGUUGACUCAACAGUGGGUUUUUAUAGCUCUCUAAAUGCACCAGUGCCAGGUGUCAGUGCAUUCCUAAAGAAGUUCAUAGACAAAGAUUUUGUUACAGUUAUGAUAAAAGCACAAGGAUCAGGGUCCAGCUCUUUGCAAAGAGGCAAUGGCAAAGUUCCCUGGAUGCAACAAACACCAUGCUUUAUCUCCUUCUAUGUACCUAACACCUUGUCCUCUACAGGCAGUUCCCCAGUCUGCUCCGACAAUCCUGACUGACGUGCCUUCCAGACUGGGAAUGGCAAGAGGUUGCUCUACCUGUGUUUUCCUCCACAGAGGCACUCUGGGCCUCCUCUCCCACUUGCCACAUUCUAUUAACAUUGUUGGAAUUUUGUAUUUUUGAAAGCCCUCUCCCCUUCAGUCAUUUUUUCUUCACAAUGGCAAACAGAUUCAUAAAUCAGUGGUAGAGGAUAGACACUGACAGACAGAAAGACAGGAAGACAGCCUCGUUUCCUUGGGAAACAAGUAUAAAAAAUGAACGCACUCCCUAGAGAUUUUGACUGCAAUGACUUUGGUGUAGUUGUGCAAAACUACCUUUAAAUGGAUACUGUUGGAUUUUGUUCCACUUUUUCUCGUGUCCUGACCUGCUCAUUGAGUAAAUAGAGCCAUCUGCCAAAGCAAUGGCUCCUGAAUUAGAGGAACGCACCUUCCCCCUGGGAGAGCAAAGUAGGCCAGCAAUUCACCAGGGCUUUCUACAGCUGAAAUUAUUAUUCAGGUUUCCACACUGUAGGAGCAAGGGAUCUGUAUCUAAAUGAAUAAUCUGGCAGGAAAUGUAGCUAAGUCACAAAAGCAUAUUGGCUGAGAACCAUGGGUAACUUCUACAGGGAAUUUAAAGUGAUGUUUUCAGAUAAAAGUUUGUCAUUCUCUUUCCCAGCCCUGAGCAGGUUUCUUGUUCACUGCAUGCACUGCUCACCUUAGACAGCAGCAAACUACAUUGGGUCCACAGCCAAAGUCAAGAUGCUAAGAGUCCUUAGCCAUAGACACCAAAGUGCUGCCACAGACACUGAAGACUGUUGCUUGAGCUGUAGGUGAUCAGGAAAACAAUUUCUUGAGGCUUUUUUUUUUCUUUUGUCAAUAAAAUCUUUCUUUGACAAACAGAUUUCUUCAACCACUGUCUGUAAUAAAAAGAGUUUCUAUUUCCAAUGACUUUUUUUUUUUUCAAAAUACAGAACAUCUUCCUAGAAAAUAUCUUUUUCAGUCCAAAGGGGUUUUUUUUUUGAUAAAAAAGUUUUCUUAUAAUCUCUGCUGGUAACUGUGGUUUGAUGUUCUAACAACACGUAGGAGGAAUGAAGCCCCUUCGUACCCUCCAGUCUUUCCUCUGACAAUCUAGAUGGCUCAUAGGAAGGUAACAAUCUUAAUCCCAGAAACUGGAAGAGAAUGGGGUGUUGCAUCUCAUGCAUGUCAUUGGCAGGGGCAGAAUUGAGGCAAAUGCCUCUGUUGAGUAAAUCUGUACCUCCUAGGAAGAACAAUAGCCAAAGUGAAAGAAGCAAUUCCUUAACUCCACUUUAUCUCUGAGGUGAACCAACAGAAAAUAAUGGAUUAUAUCAAGACUUAGUCUGACCUUUUCUGUCUACCCAUCUCAUCCUCCUUUUAUUUCACUUUAAUUAGUUAUUCUUCAGUAAAAAAUAAAGCAAAUACUUUUUUUUUUUUUUUUUUUUCCCCAAAGGAAACAUUCCCUUGACAUAAUGAGGAGCCUCCUUCAUUCUGUGUCCUCCUACAAUUGCAUAAGAUUGUGGGAGGCACUGGCAAAGGUCUGGCAGAGAAGAGCAGAGAAAAAACAUCUUUUAAAGAGCCUUUGCAAAAUUCCUUGGAUGACACAUAACCUACACAGACUGGCCCAUGCACGCUCAAGUCUGCCUCUUAAGAAUAAUGUGCCCUCAAUGACUGUUACUGAUGCUACCACGGAGACUGCCUGGACACCCCUCUUCACAAUGAUCUUUCUGUAUCAUUACAGGAUGCAGUGGGAGCAUCUGGGAAAUUAUCCCAGCUUCCUUCUUGGAUGG